rnacentral:rRNA from 1 species
CCUACGGGGGGCAGCAGUGAGGAAUAUUGGUCAAUGGACGAGAGUCUGAACCAGCCAAGUAGCGUGAAGGAUGACUGCCCUAUGGGUUGUAAACUUCUUUUAUAUGGGAAUAAAAUGUUCCACGUGUGCCUUUUUGUAUGUACUUUAUGAAUAAGGAUCGGCUAACUCCGUGCCAGCAGCCGCGGUAAUACGGAGGAUCCGAGCUUUAUCCGGAUUUAUUGGGUUUAAAGGGAGCGUAGAUGGGUUGUUAAGUCAGUUGUGAAAGUUUGCGGCUCAACCGUAAAAUUGCAAUUGAUACUGGCAGUCUUGAGUACAGUUGAGGUAGGCGGAAUUCGUGGUGUAGCGGUGAAAUGCUUAGAUAUCACGAAGAACUCCGAUUGCGAAGGCAGCUUACUAAACUGCCACUGACAUUGAUGCUCGAAAGUGUUGGUAUCAAACAGGAUUAGAUACCCGAGUAGUC